rnacentral:rRNA from 1 species
ACGGCUAACUACGUGCCAGCAGCCGCGGUAAUACGUAGGUCCCGAGCGUUAUCCGGAAUUAUUGGGCGUAAAGGGCACGUAGCGGACAAUAAGUUUGAUGUCAAAUAUGAUGGCUCAACCAUCAAGAGGCGUUGAAAACUGUUUAUCUAGAAUCUCGGAGAGGUAAGUGGAAUUCCAUGUGUAGCGGUGGAAUGCGUAGAUAUAUGGAGGAACACCAAUGGCGAAGGCAGCUUACUGGACGAAGAUUGACGCUGAGGUGCGAAAGCGUGGGUAGCAAACAGGAUUAGAUACCCUGGUAG